rnacentral:rRNA from 1 species
UACAGAGGUCCCAAGCGUUGUUCGGAUUCACUGGGCGUAAAGCGUGCGUAGGCGGUUCGUUAAGUUCGUCGUGAAAGCCCCGGGCUCAACCUGGGAAUGGCGAUGGAAACUGGCGGGCUGGAGUAUGGCAGAGGGGGGUGGAAUUCCGCGUGUAGCAGUGAAAUGCGUAGAGAUGCGGAGGAACACCGAUGGCGAAGGCAGCCCCCUGGGCCAAUACUGACGCUCAGGCACGAAAGCGUGGGGAGCAAACAGG